rnacentral:rRNA from 1 species
ACAGCAGCAGCCGCGGGAAUACGUAGGGUGCGAGCGUUAAUCGGAAUUACUGGGCGUAAAGCGUGCGCAGGCGGUUAUAUAAGACAGAUGUGAAAUCCCCGGGCUCAACCUGGGACCUGCAUUUGUGACUGUAUAGCUAGAGUACGGUAGAGGGGGAUGGAAUUCCGCGUGUAGCAGUGAAAUGCGUAGAUAUGCGGAGGAACACCGAUGGCGAAGGCAAUCCCCUGGACCUGUACUGACGCUCAUGCACGAAAGCGUGGGGAGCAAACAGGAUUAGAUACCCCUGUAGUCCCUGUCUCUUAUAC